CAAUGGCGCUUAAUUAAUUAACCACGUCACAUGUAGUUGCAGAAUAAGUUGUGUGCACUGUUAUGUUAAAGGCCUGUGUUUUCAUCGGAAUAUUCAUAAAAGUGACAUAGUUACGAGGAGAAAGAAACACAUUUACAAUAGGCUAUCUCUGACUUGUGCACACAGACUUUUAAUUCGGGGAAUAAUAAUGGAGAACAGCUGUGCUAAAAUAUCCAAAAUACAUAUGCACGGUGGAGUGAAGCCAAUGGAAUGUGUUAUCUAUGGAAAUGAGGUGGACAACCAUGAUAUGAACCUAUUCUCUGCUCUGAAUUCCUCUUUGGAGGUGGUUUCUGAUGAAGAGAUAUCAACCAAGAAAGAAAGGCAUUGGAGGCUUGGGCCAGAAGACCUAAAUGAUACGCUUUUGUAUGACUUCACUGAAGCACAGAGCCGGGAGAAGACCCAUUGAGUGUUGUGGUUUUAGGGUGUUUGAUAUCACAAACCUGAAAAAACACAAAGGAAGAAACAUUUAACUCAAAUGUAUACGUAUGUUGAGAAUUCUGGUGCACCCCCAGAAAAUAAUAAUAGUUUUAUGUUUUUAAACGUGCACAUUAUCGGUGUAUGAU